AAUCCUCGCUUCCAAGGUGACGGCGUUGCGAAGUGAUCAGGUCCUGAGGGAGCAGCCUUCGACAGUGGGCCUAGCGCCUCUAAAAUCCGGACUCAAGGGAGCCCACUGGCCUCUUCCAUCAUGUGAGGGCACAGCAAGCAGGUGCCGAUCAUGAAGCAGACACCCAACUUGCCUCCAACCCUCAGAACUACGAGGCACUGAUGCCGAGACACAGUUCCUGAGCCCCUCCAGAGACACAUCAUCAAAGGGGAAUGUAAGGUCACAAAAUCAGUCACAACGCUGACCCAAGUACAGCGUGGCUUCUGCUGUGGUUCUGAGCAGGAUUUGCUUCUACCUUCUUUUGGACUACAGAUCAGGAAAUUAUCCUAGGAGAAGAAUACCAAAUCUUCUGGGAUCUACAGAACAACAAGCCAGUGAGUGUCUGCAGUGUUUCAGAGCCUGGGGACUGAAUACACGAGAUCAUCACUGGCUUCAGAGAUAGCUGUUUUUAUGAAGAGCUAUGCAGCCUAAUGAAGGUGCCCAAACCUAUGUGGAGCUGAGACUAGGAAGAGGCAUAUAAAGAGGUAAAUAUCACUCCAUCCUGGGAAGGGUGUGUUGUACCAUAAUUUCUAUUAAUACAAUAUAUCAUUGUGAUGCCUAAUUUUUUGUUGACUUGCCUGAGCCAUGUGCCCAUAUAUUUGAUCAAACAUCAUUCUGAACAUUUCUGUGAAGGUGUUUUUUUGAUGAGGUUAACAUUUAAAUCUCUGGGCCCUACAUAAAGCAGAUGACCUUUCCUGAGCCAACCAGUUGAAGGUACAGACAGAGCAAAGACUGACCUUUGAGCAAAACAAUUCUUGCAUGCUGCCUGUAGACAUGUCUGCAAUUCUUCUCACAUCUCCUGCCUGGGGGCCCAUCCUACAAAUUCUGAAUUCGACAAGCCUCUCUGAUCACGUGAGCCAAUUUUAGAAGUAAAUCUUUCUACACACACACACACACACACACACACACAGAGACACUCACACACUCAGCGCAGGAAUAAAUGAGCCUUCCUGUCCUCACAUGAAAUUAAAACCAGCUCACUGACCUAGUGGACAAGUACUUUCCAGAAGAUGCCUGAUUGUCUCUAGAUUUGAAGUUCAGGGUUCAAGAUAGAAGGUGGUGAUCUCUGUUAGAUUGUAAUUGUUUUCUUCUUUCUGAUGGGAGCAAGACAGGACUCAGUCUGCCUCCCAUCCCCUUGAGAUAACUUUCAUUUGUUUGGACAAUAUGGAGUAAUUUUUUUUUAACAUAACAAAUGUUUCCUGAAACCUCAUAGCUCAUUUUCAUGAAUUUUAUGAAUAAUUCUGUAAUACGGUAAUUUAAAAAACAUUAAAUUCUGGAUCCCUGCCCACACCCAGCCUGGGCUUACAGAGGUUGUGCUAAGAAGAAUUUCGAGGGAGGCAGGGAUUGGAUACAGAGAUUUGUCCUAUUUUGUGGUGACUAAGAAGAAAGCAAAGUUUGAAUGUCACGAUUCUCUCAGGAAGUGCUCAGUGGUGCUGGGGGUCAAUCUCACACCAGAUCAGUGAGGUACAAGGGGCAGUGGAACACCUGUCUCCUAAUUGUUAGCCCUGGCUCAUCAUGGCACUUAAAUCCCAAAUACACAUCCAAGGAGAUGUGGGGAAAACAAGACUGAAGGUGAGAGAAGCCGUUUGAAAUGACAAGGGCUUUUACUGAGUAAACACUCGCUGUAUAAAAUAGCAGCACACACGUUAGAAAAAAGAUCUGUUGAAAGAAAAAUCUUUCAAGUGAACUGGGAAUUAUUUGAAAGAAUGAAAGCCACAACUAUGUUAGUAACCUCUUGCAGAGUUUUGGGGAUAAGGGAAAAAAAUCCAACGUUGUAUAACUUUGAACUGUUUCUUUUCUGUAACUGCGGCAAAGGUCUAGUAAAAUAUUUUCUAACAUUUUAUGUUGUAGUAGUUACUUGGGAUUAUUCUUGAGAAGAAAAUGUCCUUCUUACAGUUUUAAGUAUUUAUUUUUAUAAACAAUCUCUGUAUACAUAUAUGCACACACAUAUAAAAAAUUUGAUAAAAAUGACCACGGCUUUCAGGUUAAAAUGUUAACUACAAAUGGGCUAAUCAAUGUAAUGACAGUUUCUUUCCAUGAUACAUAUUGUCUUUUUUAUUUUUAAAAAAUACUAAGUUCAUAAGCUGUAUGAUUUCCAAGUUGUUCCAGCAUCACUCCCAUUCUGCUCCAUAAACUUUCAUUGCCAUUGCCGAUUUUCCGUAGUCAUGGCUAUUAACUCACGUUGGAUACAAAUUUCCAGAAGAUGUUGAGGGCCUUGAAAGCCAAUCUCAUGAAAUAUGACUCUUCAGGUUCUUCUUGGAUCUCUGGCAAUGAAUUCCCUGCCAAGAACACCCCGUCACCCCCACAACACACACAUACACAUACAAACUUACACACACACACACAGUGUCCUCUAAUUAAAGGCAAACCCGUCUAGGUGUCUGGGGGAGAAAGUAAAGACAGCCGCUUUGCUGGGACAGGUGCAUGAGGUCUUGCUGAUUGGAGCCUUUGCCUUUCUCUCUGGCCCAGCCGGAAAUCUCCUAUUGCACAUCUGGAGACUCUUCCUGGCAACUGGCAAAUCUGGUUGGCCUGCUGCUUUGUAUUUUCUGUUGGUUGUGUUUCUCGUCUUCUCCCCUGUAGAUAUAAUAUGUGCAGUGCUGAGACUCCCAGAUGGGGAGAAGAAAUGGGAUUUUUGUACCCACGUGUGGGGAUCAUUAAUUUCACCCAGUUGCAAAGAGAAGACUGGAGGUUUCGCUUUCCCUUUCACAGUGGAUACUGUCCGAGUGCUGGGCCAUCUUCUCUUGUGUAUUUGAAAACGAAUCUUCUUAUUAAUUCCAUUCUUAGAAGACAUAAUCAGGAGUCUGAAAACACUAAAUUAUGUGUGUGGAAAAGGCACUUAUUUCAGAAAUAAAAAGAUAAAAGAAUACAUGUAUUCCUUUGAAAAAUGGAGACCAAAACAAGAUCAAAUGUCUUGAUAUUUAGCUUUUAGGUGUCUGAAGGUUGUGUUUGAAUUGAAAGUGCUAGGAUUUUUUAUAUUUAAAUGUUAGUAUUAAUACAAUGUUAGUGCAAUAGAUCUUUUUAGUUUCUAAUUGGCCUCCUUUGUUUUUCAGAUAAACAGGCCCAUGGCAGAUAAGUGUCAUAUUAAAGUCCCAUAUCACAGACCAUCUCUAACUUUUGCUUAUUUUAAAAAAUCCUCCUCUCUGUAAAUGUGUGGCUGAAGACAGUACUCACGAGUAUUCUGUGCACCAUGCCUCUACCCAGAAGCACUUGGACCAUGCCUAGCAGCAAUCGACCAGGGUGCUCAAAGCCAUCAGCAGGUUAGUCUUGGUACUGGUUCUGGUUACACAGCCUGCAGUCCGACUCUCCUGCCAUGCUGGAUUUCUGUGAGCAGGGUGGGCUGGCCACUGGGUGCACCACUUGGUCUGGAAGGGAGAACUUGCUGUAGGGACUGGAGUCAGCCCAAGGCUUCCAGGGUGCAGACCUUUUGGGAUCUCCUGCCAGCUGAGAGCAGAGGUUGUUCUCCUCUCAAGCAGCUUCCAGUCAGUAACUGAGCACCAUGUGGCUAACAGGGCCAGGACUCUUCCAUCCAGCACAGGACUCCUGACCGAGGGCUCUGUACUACAGGCCUGGCUGGGCUGGCCAUGGCGCUCAGAGAUGUAUUGCAGUUUCGUCUUCCUCCUUCCUACUCUACCUUCAUAAGCGCAAGACUUGUAGGCUUUCCUUGCAUAGCCUUGUUCCUUUUUCCCUUUAUCCUUCACAGGCGUUAUUCCCAAUGAACAACAGGAAUUUCUAAAUCUUUCUUAGUUACCACUUCUUGGAUAGUCCAAACUGUCAUAAUGAGAUAAUAUUCUUUAAAUACAUCACCUCCCACUAUAAUCCAUUGCUGUAAUUGAACACCCUCAGAGAAUGCUGAUUGAAUAACUUUGCCCUUCCCUCCUCUACAGCUUCUAGGUGAGACUUCACAGCCAUAUUCAUGCUAAGUAAUCUUGAGUCAGUUAUAUACAGACACUCAAUUCAAGCCAAGUUAAUCAGGGAAUGUUCCUCAAAUUUAAACUAAGAAUUACUGAAACAACAGUAACUGGAAGCCUUGUUUAAAAUGUAGUUAUGACAAAACAGACAAUAUGGGCCCUAGAGAGGAAGCCAGUCUGUUGUAAAUAUGGAGAAAUGAGCAAAGAUGAAAACCAUAGGUCACCACUUUGGAAGGUAAUGUGGCAAGUUCUUAAAAAAAUGAACAUACUCCUAUUGUGUGAGACAUAAUUUUCAUGUAGCCAAACGAUUUGAAAGCCACAAGAACAUGGACAUGAAAUGUGAUAGCAACUUUAAUCAAAUGUGCCAAAAUUUGGAAACAACCAACAUGUUCUUCAGUAGGUGACAGAAUCACUAAACAGUGGACUAUUCAGCACUAAAAUGGAACAAGGCAUUGUCUUACUGUGUUUUGUGUUGAUACCAGAAACUACCUAAUUUAGAAAGAAAAGAAAUUUAUGUCUCACAAUGUUGGAGACUGGGAAGUCCUCUAUCAAGGUACUGAUGGUGAGGCCCCUGACCCUGAGUUAUCCCAUGGUGGAACUCAGAAGGGCAGGAGAGCAGAAGGUGCUGAACUUGCUUUUACGAUAAGCCCACUCUCUCAACAACGAACCCAUUAACCCAUUCAAGACGUCAGAGCCCCCUGAUCUAAUCACCUGUUUUUAGGUACCAUCUCCCAACACCACAGGGUUUCCAAUACAUGAACUCCGGGGAACACAUUUAAAUGAUAAGAGCUAUCAAGGAAUAGAGAACAUGUAAAGGCAUAUUAUUAAAUGAAAGAAGCCAAUUCGAAUACGCUACAUUCUGUGUGAUUCCAGUUAUAUGACUUUCCAGGAAGGGUCAAUCUUGGACAUAGUAUAAAGAUGAGUGGUUUCCAGGGGUUGCAGAGCACAGAGCACUUUCAGGGCUGUGGAAAUACUCUGUGUGAUACCAUCAUAGUCAAUGCAAGUCUUUACAAGACCAAGAACGUAUGAGACCAGGAGUGAACCGUAAGGUAAACUGUGGACUUUAGGCCAUAAUGAAAUGUCACUGUGGUAACAAAUGUACACUCUGUAGAGAAUGUUGAUAAUGGGGGUGGCUAUACAUGUAUGCAGAAGGGGAGAAAUGGGAAAAUGUGGUGCCUUCAAAGCUCUCAAUUUUUCCUGUGAAACAAAAAGUGCUCUAAAAUAGUCUUUAAAAAAUAUAUAAAACAAAGAAAAUUGGCCACUUAAUGACGACAGCCAUCAUCCGUUGGUCCCAGAUCCCUGAAGUCUGGCUGCACACUUGAUAGUUGCACUCCAAGAAGACCCCUGUGUAUUAAAUCCACUACUGUUGAAGCCAGUGAGAUCAUCAAACAGUUCCCGAGACAACCUCUCAGAAGCAUGGUUUUCCUACUUAUUCAUCUCAGACUUGAGCUGAACCUACUUCCUCAUAAGAUACUACUGAAAGAGAACUACAGUAAUAUCAAACUGAUACCAUUUUGUUCUUAUCCCACUUGCCGGUAUCCUAUAAAGGGUGACAUUUAACAACUGGGACAAAGGGUUUUGGACAGCAUAAUGCUAAUAUGUUUUUUCCCCUCACUUUGUAUUUCUAGUCCAUGUCCUUGCAAAUCCAAGGUGCUUUGAUAUUUAUUUUUCUAAAACAUAAAAUGCAAGUGGGUGAGGUAAACUACAGAUUUUAAUUCAACAAAUGUUAACCAAGCACCUCUUAUAUGGCUAAGCAGUAUGUGGUGCUUAUGAAAAUAAUGAUUAUAUACAUAACCCAGUGCAUCAGUUUAAUAUAACAGCAGCAUUCAGUAGAAGUCACACACACAAGAAAUUAAAAGCAACAUAAUAUAAAGUAUAAAUUUAACUGCUGAAGAUAUCGCUGGCCCUUAACUAUUUCUGUUAAGUGUUAUGGGAGAAAAUGUGUCAGCUCUAAAUGUGCAGCAUUCAUCACAUUUCAGAUGUUUACCAAUAAACUAGUUGUCCUUUGAGUUUAAUACUUCAAAUGUGUCCUAUCUAGCAGCUAUGCUGACCUGUGAACUCCCAGUCAGAAGGCUGUGUUUCAUUUUGUAAUUCCCCAGAAUUAAUGCAGGGUUGGCGAUACUUACUAUGCUGGUAGAUGGACCCUUAGGACAUGAAGCAGGAAAUAUUCCAACAUUCUAGAGAUCUUUCUUUUGCUCCAAAAGAGUCUAAACUUCUUUUACUUUUUAUUUUCUCACUCAGUGUGAACCAGAUACUACAAAAAUCAAUAUUAAAAUGUACCAAAAAAUGUGGCUAUGAAAAUGUCAAAUACUUUAUUCAAAUUGAGACCCAAAGUUACAAAAAUUAUUUUAAUUAAACUGGACUGAAAAGAAGCCAAGCCAAAUAGAUUGUGUAAUUUAAAAGAUGAAAAACAUUCUGAAAUAUUUCUGAACUUAUUCACCGUCCAUUUAUUUAUAAAUGUUUAAAAUGCAUCUCUGAUUAACAGGUUUGAGUUUAGAACACUAAAUGUUGAGUUAGAGACUUGAAAUAAACCAGUUUUUCAAAAACAUAGCAAAUUUUAAACUAUUCUGAUGGGAUGAUUUGGGAACUGUACUUGUAAAAGCUACUCGAAGGGCAAACAUUAUUAGUUGACUUAUUCUAAUUUAACAAGGAUUUGCAUUCCCUGCAAUGUUUGAAACCCUCUGUUCUAAGGUCUCACCCUGAUACCCCCCAUCCCUUAUAACCUGGCAGGUGAAACACACCUUAUUUUACUUGCAAAACUGAGGAAACUCAGUAAGCCGUUCCCAGUGUCUGCUUCCCAGUACCUCCGUCUCAUCUCAUAGCCCGUUUUUUACCUCAGAACAAGGGGAGGCUCUUGUCACACUGCAAGGGCAACUCGCUCCCUGUGCUUGGCCCACCCUUCUCUUCAGGACUCUGCUACGGAAACCACUGACUCUUUUCCUGUGCCUUCCAUUUUGUUUUCGGAUGUUCUAUUCCAUCCACAAAAGGAGCAGACAAAAAAAAACUUGCUCUGUAACCUCUCUGUGCAUGUGGACUCCUUAACCCACCACCUCUCAUUCUCUUUUCUCCCUUUUCACAUUUCUUGAUAUAAGUAGAGCUGUUCAUGAAAGGCUGACAUUCUUUCCUAGCUCUUUCUAAUCCCACAGCAUCCGAAAACCACUGGGGCAUCCACUGCUGCUCGGACUUUGAUGAGCCACUCCCUACCAAACUGCUACUUUAAAGUCCUUAGUGUCACCACCUCCCCAAGACCUGUGAUCCUUGGACACUAGUCCUCAGUUUGCC